GAUGAAGAACGUAGCAAAAUGCGAUAAGUAGUGUGAAUUGCAGAAUUCAGUGAAUCAUCGAAUCUUUGAACGCACAUUGCGCCCCCUGGUAUUCCGGGGGGCAUGCCUGUCCGAGCGUCAUUGCUGCCCUCAAGCACGGCUUGUGUGUUGGGCCUCCGUCCUCCUCCCGGGGGACGGGCCCGAAAGGCAGCGGCGGCACCGCGUCCGGUCCUCGAGCGUAUGGGGCUUCGUCACCCGCUCUUGUAGGCCCGGCCGGCGCUUGCCGACACAUCAAUCUUUUUUCCAGGUUGACCUCGGAUCAGGUAGGGAUACCCGCUGAACUUAAGCAUAUCAAUAAGCGGAGGA
rnacentral:misc_RNA from 1 species